CCUACGGGUGGCAGCAGUGGGGAAUAUUGCACAAUGGGGGAAACCCUGAUGCAGCAACGCCGCGUGAAGGAAGACGGUUUUCGGAUUGUAAACUUCUGUUCUUAGUGAAGAAUAAUGACGGUAGCUAAGGAGCAAGCCACGGCUAACUACGUGCCAGCAGCCGCGGUAAUACGUAGGUGGCAAGCGUUGUCCGGAAUUACUGGGUGUAAAGGGAGCGCAGGCGGGAAGCCAAGUCAGCUGUGAAAACUACGGGAUUAACUUGUAGACUGCAGUUGAAACUGGUUUUCUUGAGUGAAGUAGAGGUUGGCGGAAUUCCGAGUGUAGCGGUGAAAUGCGUAGAUAUAAGGAGGAACACCAGUGGCGAAGGCGGUCUGCUGGACAGCAACUGACGGUGAGGCGCGAAAGCGUGGGGAGCAAACAGGAUUAGAUACCCCGGUAGUC
rnacentral:rRNA from 1 species